AACGAACGCUGGCGGCAUGCCUAACACAUGCAAGUCGAACGAGACCUUCGGGUAUAGGUGCGCACGGGUGCGUAACGCGUGGGAACCUGCCUUUAGGGUGGGAAUAACUCAGAGAAAUUUGAGAUAAUACCGGAUGAUGUCUUCGGACCAAAGAUUUAUUGCCUUUAGAUGGGCGCGCGUUGGAUUAGCUAGUUGGUGGGGUAAAGGCCUACCAAGGCGACGAUGCAUAGCUGGUGUGAGAGGAGGAUCAGCCACACUGGGACUGAGACACGGCCCAGACUCCUACGGGAGGCAGCAGUGGGGAAUAUUGGACACUGGGCGAAAGCCUGAUCCAGCAAUGCCGCGUGAGUGAUGAAGGCCUUAGGGUUGUAAAGCUCUUUUACCCGAGAUGAUAAUGACAGUAACGGGAGAAUAAGCUCCGGCUAACUCCGUG
rnacentral:rRNA from 1 species